GAUCAUGGCUCAGGACGAACGCUGGCGGCGUGCUUAACACAUGCAAGUCGAACGGAGCACCCUUGACUGAGGUUUCGGCCAAAUGAUAGGAAUGCUUAGUGGCGGACUUGUGAGUAACGCGUGAGGAACCUACCUUCCAGAGGGGGACAACAGUUGGAAACGACUGCUAAUACCGCAUGACGCAUGGCCGGGGCAUCCCGGGCAUGUCAAAGGUUUUAUCGCUGGAAGAUGGCCUCGCG
rnacentral:rRNA from 1 species